CCAAAUGUUCGUUUGUGCUUAGAAAAUUGAACUGAUAAGUGUUGCACUGACUGUGUAUGUACAACACAUCUAGAGUCCUUCCUGUUACAUCAGAAGCAUUUUUUUCCCCCAGCCUACAAAGUACAGAUACUGUUUUUGUAAAUGGUUGAUUCACAUAGCAUAACAAUCCCUGAAGUCACUCACUUUUUUGUCUUUGUUCUCUGCGUCCCUCAGGACGGCCUACUGUCCACAGGCAAACAACCCACUUAAAGGUGUGGUACCAUGUUUGCCCGAACUGAGGCAGAGGCUGCUACAACACCCAGCUGAAGGAGGAUGGAGGUUGCACCAUCUGGUACAACGAGAAAGAGCUCCUGUCAGAUAUUGAGGAGCAUCUAAAGUGCAUAAUCACCCAGUGUGAGCCAUGACAUCAAAGUACCUGUGGAUGAUUUUGAUCGAAAGGUGGUAACUACAAGGGUCACGUGGAUAUUCUGGCCCCAUCGGUCCAGGAGCUGGCUAACCUCGAGAGAGAAGCCCAAUCUUCCUUCCUUCACCUGGGAUACAUGCCAAACCAGCUUUUCAGAGCUUUCUAAACACACCCCACUCCUUGGCCUUCACUACACUGCUUGAAAGAAUAGUAUGGAAUGGAAUGGAAUCCUUGACAUGUAAUGCAAAACCUAAUUUGUUGGAUUUUUGUGUUGUCGUUUUCUGAUUGAUACGGUUUACUAAAAUAUUGAAGUUUAAGAGUAAUUGGCUAAAAAGUCUAUGUAAUUAAGUGUCUGUUUUCUUUCUUGAAAUAAACGUAUAGCCUGCUCA